CAUUCAAGAACAGGAUGGUAUCUCUCCCCACGGCCAAGAUCCUGAUCACCACCCACAGCCUUCAUACUGACUGACCACGCCCCAAACUAAGAUACCUAGAAAGACCUGAACGAUAUGUGUGGUCUGGGAAACUGUCAGGAGAAAUACUUCCAAUAGAACCUUAGCAUCGACAUCGAAGCUCCAGACAACUCAUGCUGGUGCACUUGAGCGGUGGGGGAGUCCAUUAACAUACAGGUCAACGCUGAUCUGCAUUCUUCCUCAGACCCCUGGAGGCACAAGUUUCAGCUCCCUCCAGGUGGGCUAAAGCACCCCCACCCUCAUCUACAGGAUGCAACUAAAAUUUGAAGCUGCGAGCCUGGGUUCCGUGAGAGAUACGACGCAGUGUCACGAAAUUGCCAGAAGGGAGCAGCAGAGAGCUACCAAAUGGCUACGAGAGGCCUUGUGCGCCAAGGUUAUCAACCAAGCAGCUACUUUGCAGCAAAGAGCUGGCUACCCGGGAGUGUUUGCAAAGAACACUUCUGCAUAAGCAUCUCUAAGCCAGGAAAGCUGAGGCAGAGGGCAGGUGGCUGUCUCUCAGGAGACAAUGCCCUGCUAGUGGGCGAAUAGAGGAACUAUAGUUAGGGAUCUAGCUGGCCCAUCAGGAGCUGGGUCAGGGGUGAGGGCUAAGAGUGGGCUUAUCAGGCAGCUCUGGGAGUCCCAGCUUCUUUCCAGGUAACUUUCAGGACGCAGUGUUGCAGUGGCUCAUUGCUGUGGUAAGAGCAGGCGACAGUGGGCUUCCAUCAGCGAACCAUAUAAUCUAAAACCGAGUUAUAUUAUGAUUAUGGAAAAGCCUCGAGCCCAAUCUCUUAUUGAGAAACCCUGUGGUGGUGAGAUCUUCCAGCUCUUUUUGGAAAAUGCCUUUGCAUUUAAAAACGAACUUAAGGAACACAAGACAGUAUGUGAUUAAAUACUGCAAUUACAGUACAA